AUGCAGAACCCUUCCUCAGUUUGAUGGUGUUUUGAGAAACAGAGUUCUGCAACAAAAAGAAUUACCCUUUCUACAGAAGAGCUUUUAUAUAGGCAGCCAUUUAAACACUGAAGUGACGACUUGUUCCACAAGUAUUCUUUGAACUGCCUUCAUCUAAACCACAGAACAAACCACAUUCUUCUUCAGAAAUGCUGAACAUUAUCAGAUGGGUCUACUGCCUUCUGAAGAAAGAGGAAAUGAAACAGCCUCCCGUCCAACAUUCUCUGAGAGAAGAAAAACGACAAGAAAAAUUCCCAGUGAUGGAUAUAAUCAUCCAUACCAUUAAACAAGAUCAAGAUGCCUGCUCUUCCAUCUCCUGCCCUUCUGCUUUAUUUUGGAGAGUAAGCUGCUCAACUUGUUUUAGAAUCAUGUACAUAUUCAUUUUUUUAAAUUAGAGGGACAUCUUUCUUUCUUUCUUUCUUUCUUUCUUUGUUUGUUUGUUUC
rnacentral:lncRNA from 1 species